UGGGGAAUCUUGGGCAAUGGGCGCAAGCCUGACCCAGCCAUGCCGCGUGUGUGAAGAAGGCCCUCGGGUUGUAAAGCACUUUCAGCAGUGAAGAAAUGUCGGGAGUUAAUACCUCCACGGCUUUGACGUUAACUGCAGAAGAAGCACCGGCUAACUCCGUGCCAGCAGCCGCGGUAAUACGGAGGGUGCAAACGUUAAUCGGAAUUACUGGGCGUAAAGCGCGCGUAGGCGGUCUGAUAAGUGGGGUGUGAAAGCCCAGGGCUUAACCUUGGAACUGCAUUCCAAACUGUCAGGCUAGAGUAUGGUAGAGGGAGGUAGAAUUUCCUGUGUAGCGGUGAAAUGCGUAGAUAUAGGAAGGAAUACCGAUGGCGAAGGCAGCCUCCUGGACCAAUACUGACGCUGAGGUGCGAAAGCGUGGGGAGCAAACAGGAUUAGAUACCCCCGUAGUCC
rnacentral:rRNA from 1 species